rnacentral:tRNA from 1 species
GCCUGGGUGGCUCAGUCGGUUGAGCGUCCGACUUCUGCCCAGAUCAUGAUCUCACAGUUUGCGAGUUCGAGCCCCGCGUCGGGCU